rnacentral:rRNA from 1 species
GACGAACGCUGGCGGCGUGCUUAACACAUGCAAGUCGAACGGAAAGGCCCUGCUUUUGUGGGGUGCUCGAGUGGCGAACGGGUGAGUAACACGUGAGUAACCUGCCCUUGACUUUGGGAUAACUUCAGGAAACUGGGGCUAAUACCGGAUAGGAGCUCCUGCUGCAUGGUGGGGGUUGGAAAGUUUCGGCGGUUGGGGAUGGACUCGCGGCUUAUCAGCUUGUUGGUGGGGUAGUGGCUUACCAAGGCUUUGACGGGUAGCCGGCCUGAGAGGGUGACCGGCCACAUUGCGACUGAGAUACGGCUCAGACUCCUACGGGACGCAGCAGUGGGGAAUAGUGCACAAUGGGCGGAAGCCUGAUGCAGCAACGCCGCGUGCGGGAUGACGGCCUUCGGGUUGUAAACCGCUUUCGCCUGUGACGAAGCGUGAGUGACGGUAAUGGGUAAAGAAGCACCGGCUAACUACGUG